AUGAAGCCCAGCUUGCUGGGUGGAUUAGUGGCGAACGGGUGAGUAACACGUGAGUAACCUGCCCUUAACUCUGGGAUAAGCCUGGGAAACUGGGUCUAAUACCGGAUAGGAGCGUCCACCGCAUGGUGGGUGUUGGAAAGAUUUAUCGGUUUUGGAUGGACUCGCGGCCUAUCAGCUUGUUGGUGAGGUAAUGGCUCACCAAGGCGACGACGGGUAGCCGGCCUGAGAGGGUGACCGGCCACACUGGGACUGAGACACGGCCCAGACUCCUACGGGAGGCAGCAGUGGGGAAUAUUGCACAAUGGGCGCAAGCCUGAUGCAGCGACGCCGCGUGAGGGAUGACGGCCUUCGGGUUGUAAACCUCUUUCAGUAGGGAAGAAGCGAAAGUGACGGUACCUGCAGAAGAAGCACCGGCUAACUACGUGCCAGCAGCCGCGGUAAUACGUAGGGUGCGAGCGUUAUCCGGAAUUAUUGGGCGUAAAGAGCUCGUAGGCGGUUUGUCGCGUCUGUCGUGAAAGUCCGGGGCUUAACCCCGGAUCUGCGGUGGGUACGGGCAGACUAGAGUGCAGUAGGGGAGACUGGAAUUCCUGGUGUAGCGGUGGAAUGCGCAGAUAUCAGGAGGAACACCGAUGGCGAAGGCAGGUCUCUGGGCUGUAACUGACGCUGAGGAGCGAAAGCAUGGGGAGCGAACAGGAUUAGAUACCCUGGUAGUCCAUGCCGUAAACGUUGGGCACUAGGUGUGGGGACCAUUCCACGGUUUCCGCGCCGCAGCUAACGCAUUAAGUGCCCCGCCUGGGGAGUACGGCCGCAAGGCUAAAACUCAAAGGAAUUGACGGGGGCCCGCACAAGCGGCGGAGCAUGCGGAUUAAUUCGAUGCAACGCGAAGAACCUUACCAAGGCUUGACAUGUUCUCGAUCGCCGUAGAGAUACGGUUUCCCCUUUGGGGCGGGUUCACAGGUGGUGCAUGGUUGUCGUCAGCUCGUGUCGUGAGAUGUUGGGUUAAGUCCCGCAACGAGCGCAACCCUCGUUCCAUGUUGCCAGCACGUAAUGGUGGGGACUCAUGGGAGACUGCCGGGGUCAACUCGGAAGGAAGGUGAGGACGACGUCAAAUCAUCAUGCCCCUUAUGUCUUGGGCUUCACGCAUGCUACAAUGGCCGGUACAAUGGGUUGCGAUACUGUGAGGUGGAGCUAAUCCCAAAAAGCCGGUCUCAGUUCGGAUUGGGGUCUGCAACUCGACCCCAUGAAGUCGGAGUCGCUAGUAAUCGCAGAUCAGCAACGCUGCGGUGAAUACGUUCCCGGGCCUUGUACACACCGCCCGUCAAGUCAC
rnacentral:rRNA from 2 species